UACGAAGGGGGCUAGCGUUGCUCGGAAUUACUGGGCGUAAAGGGCGCGUAGGCGGCCAGGUUAGUCGGGUGUGAAAGCCCGGGGCUCAACCUCGGAAUGGCCUUCGAUACUGGCUGUCUUGAGUACGGGAGAGGUGUGUGGAACUCCGAGUGUAGAGGUGAAAUUCGUAGAUAUUCGGAAGAACACCAGUGGCGAAGGCGACACACUGGCCCGUUACUGACGCUGAGGCGCGAAAGCGUGGGGAGCAAACAGG
rnacentral:rRNA from 1 species